rnacentral:rRNA from 1 species
AUUGAACGCUGGCGGCAGGCCUAACACAUGCAAGUCGGGCGAGUGGCGGACGGGUGAGUAAUGUCUGGGAAACUGCCUGAUGGAGGGGGAUAACUACUGGAAACGGUAGCUAAUACCGCAUACCAUCGGAUGUGCCCAGAUGGGAUUAGCUUGUAGGUGGGGUAAAGGCUCACCUAGGCGACGAUCCCUAGCUGGUCUGAGAGGAUGAUCAGCCACACUGGAACUGAGACACGGCCCAGACUCCUACGGGAGGCAGCAGUGGGGAAUAUUGCACAAUGGGCGCAAGCCUGAUGCAGCCAUGCCGCGUGUAUGAAGAAGGCCUUCGGGUUGUAAAGUACUUUCAGCCGGGAGGCGUUACCGACAGAAGAAGCACCGGCUAACUCCGUGCCAGCCGCCGCGGUAAUAC